rnacentral:rRNA from 1 species
AUCAACUUUCGAUGGUAGGAUAGAGGCCUACCAUGGUGGUAACGGGUAACGGGGUGUUAGGGCACGACACCGGAGAGGGAGCCUGAGAAACGGCUACCACAUCCAAGGAUGGCAGCAGGCGCGCAAAUUACCCAAUCCCGACACGGGGAGGUAGUGACAAUAAAUAACAAUACGGGGUUCUUUCGGAUCUCGUAAUUGGAAUGAGUACAAUUUAAAUCUCUUAACGAGGAACAAUUGGAGGGCAAGUCUGGUGCCAGCAGCCGCGGUAAUUCCAGCUCCAAUAGCGUAUAUUAAAGUUGUUGCAGUUAAAAAGCUCGUAGUUGAAUUUCGGGAUUGACGUGACGGUCGUGCCUUAAGGGGUAUGAACUGUUGCAGUCAAUUUCUCACCUUCUGGAGAAAUAUGAUGUCCUUAAUUGGGUGUCAUAUGAAACCAGAACUUUUACCUUGAAAAAAUUAGAGUGUUUAAAGCAAGCUUAUUGCUCGAAUACAUUAGCAUGGAAUAAUAAAAUAGGACGGCAUGAUUCUAUUUUGUUGGUUUCUAGGAUCACCGUAAUGAUUAAUAGGGAUAGUUGGGGGCAUUAGUAUUCAAUUGUCAGAGGUGAAAUUCUUGGAUUUAUUGAAGACUAACUACUGCGAAAGCAUUUGCCAAGGAUGUUUUCAUUAAUCAAGAACGAAAGUUAGGGGAUCGAAGACGAUCAGAUACCGUCGUAGUCUUAACCAUAAACUAUGCCGACUAGGGAUCGGAUGAUGUUAAUUUUUUAAUGACUCAUUCGGCGCCUUACGGGAAACCAAAGUGUUUGGGUUC